rnacentral:rRNA from 1 species
CCUAAUACAUGCAAGUCGAACGGAGAUUAAGUAGCUUGCUAUUUAAUCUUAGUGGCGCACGGGUGAGUAAUAUAUAGCUAACUUGCCCAUUACUAAGGGACAACAGUUGGAAACGACUGCUAAUACCUUAUACUCCGUAUCUAUAUAAGUAGAUACGGGAAAGUUUUUCGGUAAUGGAUAGGGCUAUAUCGUAUCAGCUAGUUGGUAAGGUAAUGGCUUACCAAGGCUAUGACGCGUAACUGGUCUGAGAGGAUGAUCAGUCACACUGGAACUGAGACACGGUCCAGACUCCUACGGGAGGCAGCAGUAGGGAAUAUUGCUCAAUGGGGGAAACCCUGAAGCAGCAACGCCGCGUGGAGGAUGACACUUUUCGGAGCGUAAACUCCUUUUCUUGGGAAAGAAUUAUGACGGUACCCAAGGAAUAAGCACCGGCUAACUCCGUGCCAGCAGCCGCGGUAAUACGGAGGGUGCAAGCGUUACUCGGAAUCACUGGGCGUAAAGGGCGCGUAGGCGGAUUAUCAAGUCUCUUGUGAAAUCUAACGGCUUAACCGUUAAACUGCUUGGGAAACUGAUAAUCUAGAGUAAGGGAGAGGCAGAUGGAAUUCUUGGUGUAGGGGUAAAAUCCGUAGAGAUCAAGAAGAAUACCCAUUGCGAAAGCGAUCUGCUGGAACUUAACUGACGCUAAUGCGUG